GCGGGAGUAGUAUAAUGGCAGUACACUAGCUUCCCAAGCUAGGAGCGCGGGUUCGAUUCCCGUCUUCCGCUCCA
rnacentral:tRNA from 1 species